UACGUAGGGGGCAAGCGUUGUCCGGAAUCAUUGGGCGUAAAGCGCGUGUAGGCGGCCACGUUAGUCCGUUCUGAAAGCCCUGGGCUCAACCCCGGGAGGCGGAUGGAUACUGCGUGGCUCGAGUCCGGAAGAGGCGAGUGGAAUUCCUGGUGUAGCGGUGAAAUGCGCAGAUAUCAGGAGGAACACCAAUGGCGAAGGCAGCUCGCUGGGACGGGACUGACGCUGAGACGCGAAAGCGUGGGGAGCAAACAGG
rnacentral:rRNA from 1 species